rnacentral:misc_RNA from 1 species
CCUGUAUCAGAUGUGAAUCUAAAGGCUUGUUCAGAAAUAGAUAAAGCUUAUUGCUUGUCCCAAGUCAAGUCACUUUUGAAGAUGACUGGUUCUUUCUUGAAAUGACUUCAUUAUGCUUUCUUGAUCACAUUAAAGAUGCAUGAUUAGAAUUGGUUGUACAGUUCCUGGAGGAUUUGACCUUAUUUAGUUUGGAUAAAGCAUUAUAGAGUUCUGGACCUGAUUUGUGUAGUUGCUUGCAUGUUAAACUGCAAAUAAACUAACAUUCCCUUUUGGGCAGCAUUUUUGUGAAAAAGGCUCAAAUGUUCUUAUAGACAUGAAAGUAAGUAUUUUUAGAUAUUCAUUGCGGUGGAUCAGAAUUCUAUUACCUUUUGGAAUCGCAAAUGAUGUAGGGAUCAAGGUAGCCAAAAGUGAAAAGUGCAUUCAAGAUGAUGUGUCUUCUGAUCGAAAGUGCAAAGCAAAAAAAGAAGUUAAAGAACUUGCCUGAUUGAAGCAAGGUGCAAAAUUUUUUAAAUUAAUUACUCAAUAAAACUUAAAAAUAAUAAACAGAAAAUUAGCACUACUAAUACUAAAUAAUGAUAGUAAUCAUAUUUAGUUAAAGGAAGAAAAAUAAAUAACAAAGGAAGCAUACAGAAAAGAUGGGAGGAACACUAAACGGAAAUUCGAAGGCUGAAAAAAAAAGAGCAUAGGAAGAAUAAAUAAAUGAAAGAAUAUUUGUGGUGAGAGAAGUGAUUGAUGCAGGAAUGAACAGUAGAACAGAAGAAAAAAUAAUGAGAAUGUGAUGUUAUGUAUGAAAGAUGCAGGGUGGAAUAAGUAGAAAAAGAAACAGUAGAUGACUAGAGAGUGGACAGAAGAGUUGUGAUAAAAUAGGGUUAAGACCCUGGCUAUGGGGACCACUCUUGCAGAAUUAGGCUUAUUCUUAAGGAAAAAGUGGGAAAACCCUACUUACCAUAGUCCCAAAGAAUAAGUGACUAGCACUUUUCUACACUGCGCUUAAUAUUUAUCAUUUUUGAGAUUUUAAUGUGAGUGGCCUAUUUAACCUUUUUAAAAUAAAAAAAGAUUGCAUUACCAUUAUGUUAUGGAUGAAAUCAUUUCCAACAAAGCAAGCACUAUUCUACCUUACGCUUCAAGCUAGGCACAGGCAUAAGUUCAGAAAGCACUUGCAUUACAAGAGGUGCCUUGCCUGGAUAUGUUAACAGGGGUUGUCCCCUUCUGCAUUUGCUUAAGCGCUUAAGCUAGUGCUUUUAGCUUUGCUAGGAUGUGACUUUGUAUUUUUCAAUCUCUGUUUAAUAUUGCAGCAGAUCAUGAUAGUAUGUUGUCUUAUUUAGAAGGAUGAGGGUCUACAAAACAUAGAAGUUGUAGGGAGCUUUGCUGGAUUAAGAGUUGGAUUGUAUCAUGAAACUUUUGGCUCUUUACUAGGAA